rnacentral:rRNA from 1 species
CCACUUUGUGGUUCAUGACUGGGGUGAAGUCGUAACAAGGUAGCGCUAGGGGAACCUGGCGCUGGAUCACCUCCUUAUACGAA